UACGUAGGGUGCAAGCGUUGUCCGGAAUUAUUGGGCGUAAAGAGCUCGUAGGCGGCUUGUCGCGUCGGCUGUGAAAACCUGGGGCUCAACCCCGGGCCUGCAGCCGAUACGGGCAAGCGUAGAAUUCGGUAGGGGAGACUGGAAUUCCUGGUGUAGCGGUGAAAUGCGCAGAUAUCAGGAGGAACACCGGUGGCGAAGGCGGGUCUCUGGGCCGAAAUUGACGCUGAGGAGCGAAAGCGUGGGAGCAAACAGG
rnacentral:rRNA from 1 species